rnacentral:rRNA from 1 species
CGAACGGGUGAGUAACACGUGAGCAACCUGCCCUUGACUCUGGGAUAAGCCUGGGAAACUGGGUCUAAUACCGGAUAGGACCUCCUGCCGCAUGGUGGGGGGUGGAAAGCCUUGUGCGGUCUUGGAUGGGCUCGCGGCCUAUCAGCUUGUUGGUGGGGUGAUGGCCUACCAAGGCGACGACGGGUAGCCGGCCUGAGAGGGUGACCGGCCACACUGGGACUGAGACACGGCCCAGACUCCUACGGGAGGCAGCAGUGGGGAAUAUUGCACAAUGGGCGGAAGCCUGAUGCAGCGACGCCGCGUGGGGGAUGACGGCCUUCGGGUUGUAAACCCCUUUCGGCAGGGAACAAGCCUUUCGGGGUGAGGGUACCUGCGGAAGAAGCGCCGGCUAACUACGUGCCAGCAGCCGCGGUAAUACGUAGGGCGCGAGCGUUAUCCGGAAUUAUUGGGCGUAAAGAGCUCGUAGGCGGUUUGUCGCGUCUGCUGUGAAAGCCCGGGGCUCAACCCCGGGUCUGCAGUGGGUACGGGCAGGCUGGAGUGCAGUAGGGGAGACUGGAAUUCCUGGUGUAGCGGUGAAAUGCGCAGAUAUCAGGAGGAACACCGAUGGCGAAGGCAGGUCUCUGGGCUGUAACUGACGCUGAGGAGCGAAAGCAUGGGGAGCGAACAGGAUUAGAUACCCUGGUAGUCCAUGCCGUAAACGUUGGGCACUAGGUGUGGGGGCCAUUCCACGGUUUCCGCGC